rnacentral:rRNA from 1 species
UACGUAGGGUCGAGCGUUUGUCCGGAAUUAUUGGGCGUAAAGAGCUCGUAGGCGGUGUGUCACGUCGGCCGUGAAAACCUGCAGCUUAACUGUGGGCGUGCGGUCGAUACGGGCAUCACUGGAGUUCGGCAGGGGAGACUGGAAUUCCUGGUGUAGCGGUGAAAUGCGCAGAUAUCAGGAGGAACACCGGUGGCGAAGGCGGGGUCUCUGGGCCGAUACUGACGCUGAGGAGCGAAAGCGUGGGGAGCAAACAGG